CCUACGGGUGGCAGCAGUGGGGAAUAUUGCACAAUGGGGGAAACCCUGAUGCAGCGAAGCCGCGUGAAGGAAGACGGAUUUAGGGAUGUAAACUUCUAUCAGCCGGGAAGAAAAUUACGGUACCUGACUAAGAAGCCCCGGCUAACGACGUGCCAGCAGCGGUGGUUAUAUGGAGGGGGCAAGCGUUAUCCGGAAUUACUGGGUGUAAAGGGAGGGUAGGCGGGUUAGCAAGUCAGGAGUGAAAGCCCGGGGGCUAACCCCCGGUCCGCCGUUGAAACUGUGGACCUUGAUUGCACGAAGGGUAGGCGGAAUGCGUGGUGUAGCGGUGAAAUGCAUAGAUAUCACGAAGAACUCCGAUCGCGAAGGCAGCCUACCGGCGCGUAACUGACGCUCAUGCACGAAAGCGUGGGUAUCGAACAGGAUUAGAUACCCGAGUAGUC
rnacentral:rRNA from 1 species